rnacentral:lncRNA from 1 species
GGAAGGGCUUAUUGGUCUGCUGAUAGUCUUGGUGAUGCCAAAAAUGACGUACUCACAUAGAGAAUUCGUGUCGGAGCCCAGAGGAGUAGUCGGACUGGCGUGCCCAACACACAACUAGUUUUGCCCGCAUAAUAUUUUUCUGGCGAGGUAGGGGCCCAGUGAGGGCUGCUAUGCGGAGGUCGGCUUGUCCCAUCUUCCAUCCCUUCCUCUUUGUCUAAUAAGCAGCAAAAAAAAAAGAAAGUGCGGAAUAAAUUAUAUUUAAAGGAAGGAAUGAUUUAUUAUUCUGAUAUUUUAAAGAGAGUGGAAGGGGGAGUAGGUUUGCUCGGCUAGAAUAGAGAGGUGAGUGGAUGUGGAAGGGAAAUGCUUGGGGGCCUGGGGCUUGGAAUGGGAAGUUGACGGGGGAAUAAAACUUUUGCAAGGGUUAAAUAGCUAGGUAUGUAUACAUUGAACAUUACGGGAAGAAUGGGUUUCUAUGGAAGAGGUUGGUGGGGUACGAUCGAUGUGAUCGAUGUUGGGUCGGCCAAUGAGCACGGUUCUAAUAUCUAAUGAUGAUGUGGGUGGGAUCUAGAAGCCAAGGAGGGAUGCGAUGGUUCUAAUAUCAAGGCAAGAAUCCACGUUGGAACAACAUAAAGCUAGCAUGAUGGACGUCCGACGGCCGAUCUACACUGCACUGCGUGAAUCACAUUUCAUUUUGCUUCAUGGUUAGGCAUCAGCUAUAUUCGAUAUGUUCUUUCCAUUAGCUUGGGGUUCGUGAUGCAUGCAAAUAGAUUCUUUUUGCUGCUUCAUGCACACAAAUUUUGCCAGCUUCCUGCGCGUGUAUAUAGAAAACUUAGAACUUGUUUAACAUGACUUCUAUUUCUUAAUUUUUUUUAAAAAUAAAAUUACAAAAAUCAAGGCUACAAAAUAUAUUUGGUGCUAUUAUUUUAUUUUUCUUAUUAUUUUAAAAAAUAUUUUUAAAAAUUAAAAUAGAGAUUUUUUUAUCAAGAAACUAAUCUAUUUUACAAUCACCACCAAUGCUAACUCUAUUAUUGUUACCACUGCCGCUAAUGUCGUUUUUACUAUUGUCACCCCUAUCGUCUCUGCCAUAGCAUCUUGUCAGUCAUGGUCUCUAUUACUACUUUUACAAUACCACCACAAUCAUCAUCACCAUUACAAUUAGAUUAAAUGAGUGAAUUAUGAAAAUUCUAUUAAGUUUUACAUUUAUUAUAGUUGCAUACAAUAGUCUGUAAAAUUUAUAUUUGCAUCCAGUUAAAUUAACUAUGCUACUAAAACUGUUUACCUCAUAUAAAAAGUUGAAAUUACAUUUAAGUGAGAAGGAGGAUAUAGAAUAGUUUUCCUUAUAUUGGAUGAUUGUUCUAUCUUUUAGAAAAAAACAAUAAGGGUUAUGCAACAAGAUAACGGACCUUGCAUCUUGAAUUUUCAAUUUUUCUUAAUACAAGUGCAUUUCUUUCGCCUUCAUCAUACAAAGUUAAAUUAAUUGUUUAAUCCAAAUAUUCAGGUCGUGAAAGAAAAUAAACACCCCGUGAUCUCAUGAAGAGAAUAGAUUGCUUUUCAGAGGGAAAAGCCAAGAUCAAGUCUACGUAAGAUAACAUGACACCGCUUUAGGAAUUUUUCAGCAAAAUAUUUCAUGCAAUUAUCCAAAUACGAGUACCAGAAACCCCAAGUCUAUCCAUAGCAUAUGGUCACGAAUAAAAAUAAUUAAAAGUUCGUAAAUCAAAUGGAGUGUUUUGACGGGGUUACCUCGCUCGCCUUGGACUCACCAACCGUGCUCGCCCACGGAGAUUAGUACGUGUCGCAACGUGACUUGACU